AUGUCUUCUCUUCAUUUCAACCUCCAUCCACUCCCUCCAUCUGUUGGAUGUAUCUUUGUGGAUAAGUGCCGCCUACAAGCCGCCACUAGCACAUCUACACCCACGCCCUCAGACCCGGAGUUGGUGUCAUCGAUGGUGACACCGACGAGGGGCUGUUUGAACUUUGGAUGUGACAAGUGGCAUAAUACUUGA